AUCAGUCUUGAACUGUUCUUCGAAGCAACCAUUCGCUCUGAGCACGCGUUCUUUAUAUUUGACAAAAUUUAGAAUUUUUCAUCGAUGGAAGACCAACAAGGAUGCUGGUGAAUCGAUGAUAACUGAGCAGCUCUUGCACUUGAGAAUUUAUUUUCAAAAAUCAAUGGAGCUGUCUUGAAAUUUGAACAGGGCACCGCCACCUUGAAGUUUGGCCACCAGAUCCACGGCUAACAUAACCGCGUGCCACAUCGGAUGUUGAUCGAUUCUGGAAGCUGCGAUCGCGAGGAUCCGUCCAUCUUCGGGAUCAACGAUCACCGCGCUACCAUUGCAAUGCUCGUCGCCAAUGGCUUCUAAUUUGGCGGCUUCUAUGGCAACGUUCAUGUACCUUUCUAUCAGAUCCAAUUGCUGAUCCGUGAACACGGAUCCAUCGAUCAGACAUUCGAUGUUAGGAUCUGGAUGAAAAUUCAGAGGCCAAAUCUUCGUGGCUCUCGCUGCCUGUGCUUUCGUCCUCGCGGCUCUGGAUGGCACUUUCAACACCUGGAAAUCUUCUUCCAGCAAGGAUAAAUCAAAGCCUUUCUCCUUCAACAUCGUUUUCAACUUGUCUGAAGUUAAAGUAUGUUCUGAUGAAUGUAACGGUGCCAGGAGAAGCUUGUUCGAUGAACAGCGUUUCAGAUGAUGAAAACCCGGCAGAAUGGAUGAUACUGUUUGAAUAGCUGUUGAUGUAUUCUGUUUCUGCUUUAACAGACCCACGUAGACCUCUUCCAAGAUCGGAUCGUCCGUGAACUCCGAGCUCAAUAUCGGCCUUGCUAUCCAACUUCUAGUCCUGGCUUCUACUUUGCUCUCCUUGGAACAUUUCGGCGAGGUGAUCGCCAUUUUCCCUGAAAACACGGUGCCUUCACUUUUCCUCGAACCAUCUAAGAAACUGUCUCUUCCUCCGAGUCUAAACGAGCGUUUCGGAAGGCACAGUAAUUUGCCGCUAAUUGCCGAUUUUCGUCGACGUAUGUACACGUUGUGGGCGAGCAACGAUUACUUGUUUAACAUAAUUGUAAAUGGGCCUAGCAAUAACUGCUUAAAUAAUCAUAACGUCGGAACAAUAACGCGAGUUGCUGUAUGGAGAACGGAUAUCCCGUGGAUAAUUCGAUCGGCGGACGAGUCGUGUCAAUUCUGUUGCUCGUUCGGGAAAAAAAGAAGAAGAAGGCGGAAGAACGUCUAGGAUGGGUGCGAUUCGUGGGAGAAUCGGUACUCGGUGGCGGUGCACUUGGUACGGCUCACAGGAGGAGAAGCGAUUUUAAAUUGCUGUCAAGUUGGGCCACGGUCGGAUCGAUUGUCGGAGUUAGACGCAAUUGUACGACGUCGAUCCGCGAACAGAAGAAAUAAGACCCUUGUUACCAGGCCGCGACAGAGUCCUGAUCCUGCCGAAGACGCGAUCGCUUUCGAAUUUCUGUUGGAAACGCGUGGACCGGAAUGGUAAUGAUAUCGUCAGCCGAAUAUUGUGAAAUCAGGUAUUUCUCUGAUUUCAUGGCUGCUGCUGUUGGCACGGCUCGUCGUUUGGAUCUUCGAGUGACCCACAAAACACUCGAAACCUGGCUGUUGCCUUUCCAUAUAUUAUCCAGAGUGUAUGCUAAUGGAAAACUGACGAGAAAUCACGCAAAAUAUUUGUCAACGCCGAGCGCGAUUGCCAGGUAAACGAGAUACCGCGUUAAGUAGGUCUCAUCGAGAGGAGCCUCUCGACAUGCUUUGGAAAUACCAUUUUCUUUCCUCAAAAUUAAGAUUAUUGCAAUAUUUUACGACUUGGUUAUUCCGGAAGUGAAUAAAAAGAUGAUUGUUACGGACGCGUUUUGCAGUAACGAAAACGUGAUUCGUUAGUACCGACGGGGAAGUCGCAUCUUAAAGCAUAUUAACGGUCAGCGGGAGGAAAAUAUGCCAUGGUCGGAUGAUCUGUGAAUGGAUAAAUGAGUGGACAGGACAGAUUAAAUUAUAAAACGUUCAUAGCGUAAUAGCGUGCCGCGAAUACGAGGUUAUUGUUAAAGAUGGUCAUUAGGCGAAUGAUAAUUUUAUUAUUCAUUAACGGUGAAAGAAGUUGACAAUCCAGUGAGAACUUGUUCAAAAGAUGUACUCGAAAAAACAACGCGAUUAAGUAGUCUGGAAAUUUUCAAGUUCAAUUUAAUACGCAUUUCGAUAUAUAUUCUCGUUUUAUCGUGGAAAAUCUUGCGCCUACGUGUGUGAACAAACAUAAAGUAUAAGAAACGUUUAUUUAAAGUUCAAACAGUUCAAAAAGUUAGUUAAGAUCGAUCGUAAUACGAGAGGAGUGACGUUCGAUGGCUAGUCAAACUUCGCGGGUCGAUUACGUCAGCAACAUGGCGGCGACACAUUCGUGCGAAGCGUGUUCCUUAUAUAACAGAAAAGGAACAACAAGCGGGCUUGUGUGACGCAGAACGCGCAAACGUAAACUCGUCAGGCGAAUGUACUCGACAAUCGGGACGAACGAUGGAGUUUAUACGCACAAACAAACGCCUUCCGAUCGAUCGGAAAAUCGCAAUUGUCCGUGAUACAGGGCGGCCCGUUUUUUUCACGGGUUCUGUUCACGUGCCAAUAUGUCUUCCCUGGCCUUGAAUCGAAACAUGACACGCGUGUCCCGCAUCUCUGGCGCCUUUCAAACAAAACAAACGGUCUCGAUCACAAAACACGUAUCGUGUUGCGGAAAAAGUGAUACGAUUACGACACUAGGAUACGCGUGCAUGAAUUUUUUACGAAUAGCAGCGAAAAAAUUCAUGAAAAUUCUUACCUGCUGCUCGUAAGAGUGGCACGUUCUUCUUACGUCUGCUUUCGCGCUGUUUCUUCAACAACACAACGAAUAAAGCGAUCCCUGUCAGCCACACCUUGCACACCUUUUUGAUACUUUCCACUUGAUCCACGACACACGGAAACGCACGUGAAGAUAUCCGCGGAGAUGAAACGUUUACAGGAGGUGGACUGUGUAUACCUUUGGCGAUUACCAGUUAUCGGCGCUGCGCUUGCGCCCUCUGGCGGCAAUUUCAGUAAGCUCGCAACUGGAGGAAGGGAAGCACGACUACGGAACGUUCCUGUUAUUUUCUUUUUUUCACGGGAAUACAUUUUUCGAUUCCGUUAAAGUUUGUUGUAUCAAUUAACCAACAUCUUUGCAAACAACAAGAGUUGAAAACUGAAACGUGUCACACGAUAAAUCAACCGUAUACUACGAGAAAGGAUACACUACUGUCAAUGGUCGUGACAUUGAUGGGAUAGAUCGAUUUUAGCUGAUGAAAUUUGGCGCGAAAUCGUUUGGAUGACGUAACUGGUUGGGCGGCCAUCUUUGUACACAGUACGAAGCCAGUUCGAAAACAGAUUUC